UACGAAGGGGGCUAGCGUUGCUCGGAAUCACUGGGCGUAAAGCGCACGUAGGCGGACUCUUAAGUCAGGGGUGAAAUCCUGGAGCUCAACUCCAGAACUGCCUUUGAUACGUGGUGGCUUGAGUGCGGAAGAGGGUCGUGGAAUUCCCAGUGUAGAGGUGAAAUUCGUAGAUAUUGGGAAGAACACCGGUGGCGAAGGCGGCGACCUGGUCCGUGACUGACGCUGAGGCGCGAAAGCGUGGGGAGCAAACAGG
rnacentral:rRNA from 1 species